rfam:Felis catus isolate Cinnamon breed Abyssinian chromosome F1, whole genome shotgun sequence.
GCCUGGGUGGCUCAGUCGGUUGAGCGUCCGACUUCAGCUCGGGUCAUGAUCUCACAGUCUGUGAGUUCGAGCCCCGUGUCGGGCU